CAGCUACUCCCUCCGUUCGGAAAUACUUGUCACCAAAAUGGAUGUAUCUAGUCUAGAACUAAAAUACAUCUAGGUACAUUCAUUUCUCCGACAAGUAUUUCCGAACGGAGGGAGUAGAUA
rnacentral:pre_miRNA from 1 species